rnacentral:rRNA from 1 species
CAGCAGCCGCGGUAAUACGAAGGGUGCAAGCGUUAAUCGGAAUUACUGGGUGUAAAGCGUGCGUAGGCGGUUUGUUAAGUCUGUUGUGAAAUCCCCGGGCUCAACCUGGGAAUGGCAAUGGAUACUGGCAAGCUAGAGUGUGUCAGAGGAUGGUGGAAUUCCCGGUGUAGCGGUGAAAUGCGUAGAGAUCGGGAGGAACAUCAGUGGCGAAGGCGGCCAUCUGGGACAACACUGACGCUGAGGCACGAAAGCGUGGGGAGCAAACAGGAUUAGAUACCCCGGUAGUCCCUGUCUCUUAUAC